rnacentral:rRNA from 1 species
CAGCCGCCGCUGGAAUACGUAGGUGGCAAGCGUUGUCCGGAAUUAUUGGGCGUAAAGGGCUCGCAGGCGGUUUCUUAAGUCUGAUGUGAAAGCCCCCGGCUCAACCGGGGAGGGUCAUUGGAAACUGGGAAACUUGAGUGCAGAAGAGGAGAGUGGAAUUCCACGUGUAGCGGUGAAAUGCGUAGAGAUGUGGAGGAACACCAGUGGCGAAGGCGACUCUCUGGUCUGUAACUGACGCUGAGGAGCGAAAGCGUGGGGAGCGAACAGGAUUAGAGACCCCGGUAGUCCCUGUCUCUUAUAC